CGGCGGACGGGUGAGUAACGCGUGGGUAACCUGCCUCAUACAGGGGGAUAACAGUUGGAAACGGCUGCUAAUACCGCAUAAGCGCACAGUACCGCAUGGUACGGUGUGAAAAACUCCGGUGGUGUGAGAUGGAUCCGCGUCUGAUUAGGUAGUUGGUGAGGUAACGGCCCACCAAGCCGACGAUCAGUAGCCGACCUGAGAGGGUGACCGGCCACAUUGGGACUGAGACACGGCCCAA
rnacentral:rRNA from 1 species